rnacentral:tRNA from 1 species
GCCCGGGUGGCGUAACUGGUAGCCGCUAGGGACUUAAAAUCCCUUGGCCGCAAGGCCGUGCCGGUUCGAAUCCGGCCCCGGGCA